CUCUGGACAAUUAAUAAGAAGAUUAUCGAUCCUGUGUGUCCCAGGCAUACUGCUGUCAUUGAAGAACAUAGGGUGCCAUUAACCUUGACUGAUGGUCCCAAGCAACCAUUUGUUCGAAUCAUUCCAAGGCACAAGAAACAUGAGGGUGCUGGAGAGAAGGCCACAACAUACACAAAUAGGAUAUGGAUAGACCAUGCAGAUGCAGAGUUGAUCUCUGUAAAUGAAGAAAUAACCUUAAUGGAUUGGGGAAAUGCCAUAGUGAAGGAAAUUGAGAAGGACCAGAAUGGAAAC
rnacentral:lncRNA from 1 species